CUGGGACUUGAGAUUCCAGGUACCAGGAUGAUCUUCAGGUGACUCGUAACCUCGCGCUAGUCGUAGCAACACAAACAAGCAUGGUAUAGACAAAAUUAACAUAACACCAAACAUAAGAAUAAACUGUGUAUUAAUAUUCUACGCUGUAUAACGAGAUCGUGAGUACAAGAAUUACUAAAUUCGGAGUUACGGGUACCAAGUUAUGAAUUUCUGGAAUUAUUAGGUACUUGGAAUAGCAUAACUCAUGUGGAUAAUUUUAGUUCAAGUUUCAUGGCUAAACAAUGUUAUGGUUGGUAGAAAAUACUAAUACAAAAUUAAUGUCACUGGAAUGGACCCAAAAGGGUUUAAUAUGAAUUUUCUAUGAAUUUUACAAGUUUCUAGAAUUAUUUUUGUAUUAAAAAUCAUUUUCUACAAUUAAUUUCCUAUUUUUACUGUUCUCUGGACUGGGCGUCAAAAACAGAGGAACGCAGGGGCUCUAGCGUAAGUUUUCUAAGACUCAGAGAAUAGUGCAAUUGGACGGCGGGUUAAUUCAUCGAAAUCCGAGGGGCUCGUUUAGAAAAUGACCACGGCAAAGGGGUAAGAUGGAAUCUGAGCCGCCCGAUCCAGAACCGAGGACCCAGAUUAAAAGCCCGCUACGACGAACCGGUACGUAUUGUGUGCCGUUCGAUCAGGGACCAACGCCCAGGAUUUAAAUAGCCGAGAGAGAAUCUCGUACAUCCGAUCAGAUCCAACGGUCAGACUCUGACACAUGAAGGGGGUACGCGAAGCACGAUCACAUCCAUCCAUAGCCGAAUCAACGGUCCACCCAUCGCCUCCUUCCUCCGCCAAAAACCGAGCACGGCGGCGGCGUCGGUCAGCCCGCACGGUGGCGCAUCAACGGCGCACACCCAAAUCCAAGCCUCUGAUGCACGAGUUCCUAAGGCAACGAGCUCUAUGCGUAGCAGGGACAAGAGUGAACGUUGAAGAGGGUUACUUACCCAGAUUAAUGAAGCGAAGCCGGUCGACCACAGCCGGGGCGGAUACGCGGCUCCGGCUGCCGAGCUCCACAGAUGGCAAGGCCAGGCGCAUGCGGCCAUAGAGCACGCGGGGGCACCUUGCACUUGGGUUCGAGAGAGUACACAGGGAAGGUUGGAGGCUCGCCCAUGGAGGGAGCCCCGC
rnacentral:lncRNA from 1 species